rnacentral:tmRNA from 1 species
GGGGAUGAUCGGUUUCGACGGCGAUAGUUAGUCGGAGGGAAGCGGGUCGAGGAUUAGAGUCCACUCGUUAACGAUUCUCUAAAAACUAUAGGUGCCAAGAACAAGAGCACCGAUUUCGCCCUCGCUGCUUAAUCUAUAGCGACUUGCGAAAUCUGCUGAACUAUAUGUGCUUUCCGUAUAGACCUCAGCAUCGUUAAGAAAGCCACUGGGUUACGCGUUUGCUACGGGCGCGUGGCCGACACCUAACAUAGAUAGGUUCGUCAAAGCCUCGUUCGCGUGGAACUUUGGAGCCGAAAACAACUACCAGCGAACUGCACCCGGAGAAGACUCUGGUGCCUAUCGUCGGACGGGGGUUCAAUUCCCCCCAUCUCCACUA